rnacentral:tRNA from 1 species
UUAUGAGAAACUAAUGAAUAGUUUAAUAUUGUUAAUAUUUAUAAGAAUAAAAUCCUCAUAAA